UGCGGAGGGAUCAUUACACAAUAAAAUAUGAAGGCUGUACGCGGCUGUGCUCUCGGGCCAGUUUUGCGGAGGCUGAAUUAUUUAUUACCCUUGUCUUUUGCGCACUUGUUGUUUCCUGGGCGGGUUCGCCCGCCACCAGGACCACAUCAUAAACCUUUUUUAUGCAGUUGCAAUCAGCGUCAGUAUAACAAAUGUAAAUCAUUUACAACUUUCAACAACGGAUCUCUUGGUUCUGGCAUCGAUGAAGAACGCAGCGAAAUGCGAUACGUAGUGUGAAUUGCAGAAUUCAGUGAAUCAUCGAAUCUUUGAACGCACAUUGCGCCCUUUGGUAUUCCAAAGGGCAUGCCUGUUCGAGCGUCAUUUGUACCCUCAAGCUUUGCUUGGUGUUGGGCGUUUUUUGUCUUUGGUUGCCAAAGACUCGCCUUAAAAGGAUUGGCAGCCGGCCUACUGGUUUCGCAGCGCAGCACAUUUUUGCGCUUGCAAUCAGCAAAAGAGGACGGCAAUCCAUCAAGACUCCUUCUCACGUUUGACCUCGGAUCAGGUAGGGAUACCCGCUGAACUUAAGCAUAUAAAA
rnacentral:rRNA from 1 species